rnacentral:rRNA from 1 species
UACGUAGGGUGCAAGCGUUAAUCGGAAUUACUGGGCGUAAAGAGCUCGUAGGCGGUCUGUCACGUCGGCUGUGAAAUCCCGAGGCUCAACCUCGGGUCUGCAGUCGAUACGGGCAAACUAGAGUAUUGCAGGGGAGACUGGAAUUCCUGGUGUAGCGGUGAAAUGCGCAGAUAUCAGGAGGAACACCGGUGGCGAAGGCGGGUCUCUGGGCAAUAACUGACGCUGAGGAGCGAAAGCGUGGGGAGCGAACAGG